AUUGAACGCUGGCGGCAGGCCUAACACAUGCAAGUCGAGCGAGCGGCGGACGGGUGAGUAAUGUAUGGGGACUGCCCGAUAGAGGGGGCUAACUACUGGAAACGGUGGCUAAUACCGCAUACUAUCGGAUAACCCAUAUGGGAUUAGCUUGUAGGUGAGGUAACGGCUCACCAAGCCGACGAUCUCUAGCUGGUCUUAGAGGAUGACAAGCCACACUGGGACUGAGACACGGCCCAGACGCCUACGGAGGCAGGAGUGGGGAAUAUUGCGCAAUGGGGGCAACCCUUACAGAGCCAUGCCGCGUGAAUGAAGAAGGCCUUCGGAUUGUAAAGUUCUUUCGGUAGCGAGGCGUUAACUACAGAAGAAGCACCGGCUAACUCCGUGCCAGCGGCCGCGGUAAUUC
rnacentral:rRNA from 1 species